ACUGCGACUGGGGCAGCAUUUAGGCCACAACUAACUGUUGAAUAAGGGGGUGUUACGGACAAACCCAAACAGGUUGUGUUGAGGAAAUAUCCAGUCAAAACGUUUGGUUAAAAAAAAAACAAUCAUUUUCCUCUAGCUGGUAUUUGAACAGGGACUGGCUUGCGUAGGCUACUCGGUGGAAAAGGACUUCGCAUUUUGUAUCGUCAGACGCAACCUUCUUCAUUAAGGGGUUUAAGAUUUACAGACAAGGGCUUAAAUAAGCAUGCGGCUUCAAAUGACAGGAGGGACUGGAGAGAGGACAGGCGGCCUCCACUUGAAGUACCGACUGAGGUCUGGCGACGGGUCUGUGAACAGCUGAGUCUUUAAACAAAGACACAACACAAAGAGAGGCGGUUCACACGGUCGCAGUAUUGCUUCACACUGCUCCCCGGAACACGCUGUCGAUGUCGAUUCGUUUCACUCUGCCUUCCACUGAAGCUCUCUUCCCUGUCGCCGGCUCGGCCACUCAUGCGUCUCCCUGAUUUCAGCUGAACGGCUUCAGCUGUGGGACUGACGUCACCAGCACACACCUGAAGAGAAUCACACACAAGAAGAAUACAAACUAACAAUAACAACAAUAGACUUUUUUUCACGGCAGACAUGUUGACAUGUCAUAGUAGGA